AUUGAACGCUGGCGGCAGGCCUACCACAUGCAAGUCGAGCGGAAACGAAGGGAGCUUGCUCCCAGGCGUCGAGCGGCGGACGGGUGAGUACCACGUGAGAAUCUGCCCACUCGUGGGGGACAACUCGGGGAAACUCGAGCUAAUACCGCAUAAUCCCUACGGGGGAAAGCAGGGGACCGUUUGGCCUUGCGCUGAUGGAUGAGCUAACGUCGGAUUAGCUUGUUGGUGAGGGAAAGGCACACCAAGGCGACGAUCCGUAGCUGGUCUGAGAGGAUGAGCAGCCACACUGGGACUGAGACACGGGCCAGACUCCUACGGGAGGCAGCAGUGGGGAAUCUUGGACAAUGGGGGCAACCCUGAUCCAGCCAUGCCGCGUUUGUGAAGAAGGCCUUCGGGUUGUAAAGCACUUUCAGCAGGGAGGAAGGCUUUGGCCGAAUAGGUUGAAGUACUUGACGUUACCUGCAGAAGAAGCACCGGCUAAUUUCGUGCCAGCAGCCGCCGUAA
rnacentral:rRNA from 1 species